rnacentral:rRNA from 1 species
AACGAACGCUGGCGGCAUGCCUAACACAUGCAAGUCGAACGAGACCUUCGGGUCUAGUGGCGCACGGGUGCGUAACACGUGGGAAUCUGCCCUUUGCUUCGGAAUAACAGUUAGAAAUGACUGCUAAUACCGGAUGAUGUCGAAAGACCAAAGAUUUAUCGGCAAAGGAUGAGCCCGCGUAGGAUUAGGUAGUUGGUGGGGUAAAGGCCUACCAAGCCGACGAUCCUUAGCUGGUCUGAGAGGAUGAUCAGCCACACUGGGACUGAGACACGGCCCAGACUCCUACGGGAGGCAGCAGUGGGGAAUAUUGGACGAUGGGCGAAAGCCUGAUCCAGCAAUGCCGCGUGAGUGAUGAAGGCCUUAGGGUUGUAAAGCUCUUUUACCAGGGAUGAUAAUGACAGUACCUGGAGAAUAAGCUCCGGCUAACUCCGUG